rnacentral:rRNA from 1 species
GAUGAACGCUAGCGGCAGGCCUAACACAUGCAAGUCGAGGGAGAAGCCCUUCGGGGCAGAAACCGGCGCACGGGUGCGUAACGCGUAUGCAACCUACCUUUCACAGGGGGAUAGCCCGAAGAAAUUUGGAUUAAUACCCCAUAAUAUUAUUGGAUGGCAUCAUUUGAUAAUUAAAAUUACGAUGGUGAAAGAUGGGCAUGCGUCCUAUUAGCUAGUUGGAGUGGUAACGGCACCCCAAGGCUACGAUAGGUAGGGGUCCUGAGAGGGAGAUCCCCCACACUGGUACUGAGACAGGGACCAGACUCCUACGGGAGGCAGCAGUGAGGAAUAUUGGUCAAUGGUCGGAAGACUGAACCAGCCAUGCCGCGUGCAGGAAGAAUGCCCUUAUGGGGUGUAAAACUGCUUUUAUAUGGGAAG